GACGAACGCUGGCGGCGUGCUUACCACAUGAAAGUUGAACGAUGAACCCGGAGCUUGCUCCGGCGGAUUAGUGGCGAACGGGUGAGUAACACGUGAGUAACCUGCCCUUGACUCCGGGAUAACUGCGGGAAACUGUAGCUAAUACCCGCUACGACGCUCGGCGGCAUCGCCAGGGGGUGGACAGAAUUUCGGUCAAGGAUGGACUCGCGGCCUAUCAGCUAGUUGGUGAGGGAACGGCUCACCAAUGCGACGACGGGUAGCCGCACUGAGAGGUGACCAGUCACACUGGGACUGAGACACGGCCGAUGCGCCUACUGGGGGCAGAGGUGGGGUAUAUUGGACAAUGGGCAGAAGCCUUUUUCAGCAGCUCCGCGUAACGGAUGACGGCCGUCGGGUUGUAAACCUCUUUUAGUAGGGAGGUAGCGAAAGUGACGGUACCUGCAGAAAAAGCACCGGCGAACUACGUGCCAGCCGCCGCCGUAA
rnacentral:rRNA from 1 species